rnacentral:rRNA from 1 species
CGCUAGCGGCAGGCUUAACACAUGCAAGUCGAGGGGUAUUGGUUUUCGGACCAAGAGACCGGCGCACGGGUGCGUAACGCGUAUGCAAUCUACCUUUUACAGAGGGAUAGCCCAGAGAAAUUUGGAUUAAUACCUCAUAGUAUUAUUGAAUGGCAUCAUUUAAUAAUUAAAGUCACAACGGUAAAAGAUGAGCAUGCGUCCCAUUAGCUUGUUGGUAAGGUAACGGCUUACCAAGGCAACGAUGGGUAGGGGUCCUGAGAGGGAGAUCCCCCACACUGGUACUGAGACACGGACCAGACUCCUACGGGAGGCAGCAGUGAGGAAUAUUGGUCAAUGGGCGCAAGCCUGAACCAGCCAUGCCGCGUGCAGGAUGAAGCAUCUAUGGUGUGUAAACUGCUUUUGUACGAGAAGAAACACUCCUACGUGUAGGAGCUUGACGGUAUCGUAAGAAUAAGGACCGGCUAACUCCGUGCCAGCAGCCGCGGUAAUACGGAGGGUCCAAGCGUUAUCCGGAAUCAUUGGGUUUAAAGGGUCCGUAGGCGGUUUAGUAAGUCAGUGGUGAAAGCCCAUCGCUCAACGGUGGAACGGCCAUUGAUACUGCUAGACUUGAAUUAUUAGGAAGUAACUAGAAUAUGUAGUGUAGCGGUGAAAUGCUUAGAUAUUACAUGGAAUACCAAUUGCGAAGGCAGGUUACUACUAAUUGAUUGACGCUGAUGGACGAAAGCGUGGGGAGCGAAUAGGAUUAGAUACCCUGGUAGUCCACGCCGUAAACGAUGGAUACUAGCUGUUCGGAGCAAUCUGAGUGGCUAAGCGAAAGUGAUAAGUAUCCCACCUGGGGAGUACGUUC